rfam:Serendipita vermifera MAFF 305830 unplaced genomic scaffold scaffold_1, whole genome shotgun sequence.
GACUUGAUGGUGUAGUUGGUUAUCACGUCCGUCUCACACACGGGAGGUCUCCGGUUCGAACCCGGGUUGAGUCA